GAUGAACGCUGGCGGCGUGCCUAAUACAUGCAAGUCGAGCGAACGGACGAGAAGCUUGCUUCUCUGAUGUUAGCGGCGGACGGGUGAGUAACACGUGGAUAACCUACCUAUAAGACUGGGAUAACUUCGGGAAACCGGAGCUAAUACCGGAUAAUAUUUUGAACCGCAUGGUUCAAAAGUGAAAGACGGUCUUGCUGUCACUUAUAGAUGGAUCCGCGCUGCAUUAGCUAGUUGGUAAGGUAACGGCUUACCAAGGCAACGAUGCAUAGCCGACCUGAGAGGGUGGUCGGCCACACGGGAAGUGCGCCGGGGCCCACACACCUAGGGGGGGGCGCAGGAGGGAAUCGUCCGCAAGGGGGGAAGGCCGGACGGAGCAGAGCGGGGGGAGGGAUGAUGGUCUUGGGACCUAAAAACUUUUUUUUGAGGAAAAAACAUAGGUGAAAUUACCUGUGCUCAUCUUGACGUUACCUAAUAAAAAAGCCCCGGCUAACUCCGUG
rnacentral:rRNA from 1 species